GCCAGCUGACGUUGAUAUACUUUAGACAUGAAUCAAGGCCGCAAACAUUUAAAAACGGUUCGUUUUUAUAGGCAGGAGAAACCUACGAUCACUGCUGUGUCCCUCACUGUACAGCAUCAGCCAAAUCCAAAGGGGUAUUUAGUUUCCAUGGCUUUCCAAGCCAAACUGACGUGAGGAGUCAAUGGCUUAAACAUAAGCCGGGAUAAAUAUGUCAUCACCACUCACUCUAAGGUCUGUAGCAGAAACUUUAGUUCUGACCAGAUGAUUGAGCCAAUUACUCUUCAGGGUCGAAGGAGACUUACAAAAGGUGCCGUAGCGACCCUUUUUGAGUGGAACCAGUAUACAGUCGAAACCCCAAGGCGCGGCGUGUGGGAGAGAGUGGAUCGGUUCGUCGAAACUGCCCCUCCGGAAGAUGAAGUUGAUCUCCUUUUCAACGAUCAAAACUACUGCUCUGUCCCUGAAACGACUGCCAUGGAUAUGUCCGCAUCCGCUGUUGAAAGCGUCUCAAAUGAAGUACAGGAGCUGAGAAAGGAGCUACAGGAGUUACGUCUCCAGCGAGAGUUUGGACUGCAGCGGUUUGCUGGCUCCGACGCAGACAUCCGAAUUUACACAAGGGAAGUCACUUUUUCAGUCACAUUUUUUGUAUUAGUCUGUUAUUAGCCUAGUCCCUACGUGAAGGGGAUAUGUGUCAGUCAGGGACAUUGUUGGUUAGAAAAUAGCUUGACGUUACAGAUUAAUUUAUAGUACUGUACCAAAUUAUUUCUUAAUAGGUCUAUGCGAAUGAUUAAUAGCACACAAGUAGUGGCAUGUUGAGAGAUGGCGUAAUUGGAGUUGGGGAUGUCCAUGUCUUAUCAGAAUUUAUAUAUAUGAAUGUGACCGCACCAAUAGUACAAAAACAAACAACAUUUAUAAUACAGAUUUGUGUAAAGACUUGCAGAGACGUGUUUCCAGUUCAAGUCUACAAAGUUUAUUUUUAAAUGGUUGAAAAAAGUCAUGUUAUUAUUCUAUGAGAUGAAAAUAGGAGCACUGAAGCGCCAGCGCCAGAAUGUGACGUCUCCAACUCCACCAAUGCUGGUUCUAGAACAAAAUACUAUUAAUAAACAAUUGUAAAAAUGUAUGAAUUGAGCAGGUAACACCCUACUUAUCUACAUGCAAGUACACGGCAAACCACCAAACCGCGCCUCCCAAAGAUACGGCCCGGACAGGAACACUACUCUAAAAAGAGAGCACAGAGAACACAUUAGGGCAUUGGAUAUCCACACACAUCAGGUUGCCAGGGAUUAGUUACGACGCCAUCCGGUAGAGCAACCGUUGCGUAGUGGCACAAGUCACAAUACAGGUAAAAGGGAGGUGACUGAGGCUGAAACAGAUAUAUGGGAGAAAUACAGGUCACCCUGCUACAUAUACAGUAUAUAUAUAUAUAUAUAUAUUAUAUAUACACGAUGAAAUCUGAAUCUUAGUAGUUACUGUUGACAUUAUUUUGGUAACAAUGUAUACUUUUGAUGUACACUUCUAAUUGAACAUUUUUAUGCGAUGUCUUUUGUGAAUAGAUUUGCCACCUACAACCAUCUGAUAGCUUUUUUGUCUUUGAUUGAGCCUUGUCUCUACAAGAUGGUCCGUGUUUCCAGAGCCAAAUCAGCUGCCCAGAAAAAAGAAGUGGUCGCACCUGCACGUGCAUCAACAGUACUUUAUAAGUAGUUACAGAUGUAAUUAUACGUGAUGCAAUUGCAUUUGUAUUUGUCGUUUUUGAGCUAUACUUUUUUUCUUUUCCUCUCAGAGACAGCUGCUCCAGCCCAUAGAUUAACUCUUUCUUUUUUCAUCCCUUGGCUGAUGAAUCACAAAGCUUGAUCUAAGAGAAAAAGCGGACUCCAAGAAUCACAAUUAUUCCAAUGUACCUGUACUUCUGCUGUGCAAACGACAAUAAAUAUCUUGUUUAUAUACCUUGUACUCAUUACCUUGACUAUAUUAAAUUGUGUGUGAAAAACAGGGAGACAUGAAAAACAUUCAAGUUGGUGGCCCUUGAGGACUACACUUAGCUACUGCUUAACCGAACAAACACCACUGAACAGGGCUGAACACAGCUUCCUGCCUAGACUCAAACUGUGGUGCCUCGCUCUUCCCCAUCGACCUGUAGCACAAGGCAGCUUGUCUUUAUUGGACACUGAAUGAAAUAACACAUACAAAUUCAUUAAGCUUCAAUUGUACUGGGUUACUCGCAUCAUCACAUCCAUAACAUGUUACUACA
ensembl:lncRNA